UGGGUUUAGACCCACGGCAAACGGGUGAGUAAUACCCAGGAACGUACCCUUAGUUGAGCAUAAUCCACCGAAAGGUGGGAUAAUUCUCAAUGUAGCAGCAAUGCUAAAGUCGCAAGACGCUAAGGAAGCGGCCUGGGCACCAUCAGCUAGUUGGUAAGGUAAUGGCUUACCAAGGCUUUGACGGUUAGGGGCCCCGAGAGGGGAAACCUCCACACUGGAACUGAGACACGGUCCAG
rnacentral:rRNA from 1 species